CAUAUGGCACCUUUUUUUUGCAUAAGAAAUAUUUUCUAUGAGACAUGGCAUGACGGGGUUUGUGCAACUUGCUGUAUUGAUGCCAUGCAUGUGGGAUGGUUAAAUUAGACUUGCCAAAACAACAUUAUGUAGGUCCAGAAAAUUUUUCAUGUGUACUAUUAGACACUCAAAAGUAUUUUCUGAUAUUCAUAGGCCGAUACUCUUUGUUCUUUCACACGCUGAUAUGGAAGCAUG
rnacentral:lncRNA from 1 species